rnacentral:rRNA from 1 species
UACGGGGGGGGGCAAGCGUUGUUCGGAAUUACUGGGCGUAAAGGGCUCGUAGGUGGCCAACUAAGUCAGACGUGAAAUCCCUCGGCUUAACCGGGGAACUGCGUCUGAUACUGGAUGGCUUGAGUUCGGGAGAGGGAUGCGGAAUUCCAGGUGUAGCGGUGAAAUGCUUAGAUAUGACAUAGAACACCGAUAGCGAAGGCAGCUUGCUACACAGUUAUUGACACUGAGGCACGAAAGCGUGGGGAGCAAACAGG